ACAUGAACAACACUCGAGUGAAUAAGAUGCAAGAUCCACUUUCAUGUGAUGAUCACAAAAUGAAUAGCACAAGGAUAAACAAUCAUCGACAACAUCUACCACUUUUAUCAGAAAUGCUCGACGACUCAAUGGGAGUUAAUUGAGAAUAAGAUGCAAGAUCCACUUUCAUGUGAUGAUCACAAAAUGAAUAGCACAAGGAUAAACAAUCAUCGACAACAUCUACCACUUUUAUCAGAAAUGCUCGACGACUCAAUGGGAGUUUAAUUGAGACAACAUGUCACAAACAUUCGGUAAUACAAUAUUAAGAGCUCAAACGGCAUCCAGAUAAGGCGAAAAUACGAAACAGUAACAGGGGCAAUCCCCAUGAUGAGGGAUUGGCAUGGAACAGCAACAAAACAACAAGCAUAG
rnacentral:lncRNA from 1 species